rnacentral:rRNA from 1 species
GACGAAGGGUCCUAGCGUUGUUCGGAAUCACUGGGCGUAAAGCGCAUGUAGGUGGCUCAAUAAGUCAGGUGUGAAAGCCCCGGGCUAACCCGGGAAGUGCACUUGACACUGUUAAGCUUGAGUAUGGGAGAGGGUCGUGGAAUUCCUGGUGUAGUGGUGAAAUGCGUAGAUAUUGGGAGGAACACCAGUGGCGAAGGCGGCUACCUGGACCGGAACUGACGCUGAUGCGCGAAAGCGUGGGUAGCAAACAGG